ACCUGGGCACCCGUGAUGCAGAGAGCUGUGUGCCAAACUGCUACACCAGGAUGGAUUCUGUCAUGUUAGAGUGAGACAGCUCCUGCUGACUUGCAAAAUUUGAGUAGCACCGAGCGCAUAACAGUUCUCCAAGCAAAAAUGCAGGAAAUCCGGAAACGCUACCGGUUGCUGAAAGCUGAGUUGGCUGCCAUCGACCGGACAAAGCGUUUAAAGAAAAAAAAAGAGCUGGAAAGGGCUGCUGCCACAUCAAGUUCUUCACCAGAUGGAAUGCCAGGGGAAUGCAGAAAGCAGAAGUGUGGCCCAGCAUUAAUGCAGCAUCUGUCAAAACAAAGUUGAAUUUUGAUUCUUGUUCAUUAUGGUAGUUUGAAAAUGUCAAAGCAAGCUCCUGAAAAUAUUUGCUGACUCCUUGUAUCAACUCCCUCGAGGUCAGAUUCAUUGGAAUUGAAACUGGAAUAAAUAUUCUAGUGUUCUCUGCUUA